UUAGAGGACGCAAUUUUAUAUUUGGGACACAAACUGGCUGUCAAAUCUACGAAAGACCAAACAUCAAAGCGAGACCAUGAUAAACUGGUCAAUGAUGGUGUAAGGGGGCCAAGAGUGGCGACCCCAUAAACUUGAGGUUAAGCUUUUAUUGACCCCCCAACCCUGGCCCAAAAAUAAUAUUGCGUCCUCUAAAAAUGCAAUACUCGGUCCUUAAAUUGUAACAUUUCCAGGGACUAACUGUUUUGCUGAGUGAGUCAGAAUACCGGAAUGAAUACUUCAAACGUACAAUAACGUGACGUAAAGUUGUAUUUGGAUCUGGUUUUUAUUUUUUAAUUUAUCUAUACAUUACUACAUCCCGUAUUGUUGAAAUUCUCGUAAAAUUGUAAACAAAAAAAUCUUGUUUCGGUUAAACAAUAAGAAAAUAAACGAAAUGUGAGUUUGUCUGUUGCUGUUGUUGUAUUUGUUGAAGUGGAUAUUUUCUCCCGUUAUCCAUUUUAUACUUUAGUGCAAAAGUACAUGUAACUACGUAGUCAGUUGCAGCAUUUUGAGAUCAUUCAAUUCAACGAUUAAGGGAUAUCGUGUUACAAAAAUCUAUGUAUUUAUUGUUGCAAGUAAAGCCGGGAGCAAAAGUUAUUUUACAUAUUUUCCGCCUCACUGUGAUUGAAACUGAAUAAUUAUUAUUUUCUUGUUUUUUAUACAGCUGGCUGUGACCUGUUCUCUCCGUCGUCAUCGAAGAUUUAGUAUAAAACGAGGCGUUUAUGGAACACAGACAUCAGUUCAACCUGAAAAUUGUUACAAUGAAAUUCUUCGCCUUCUUCACGUUGUUCGUGUGCGCCAUCUUGGCUCUGGCCAGCGGUGAGCGGGUGUACUACAGACAGGUGCGCAGCCCAGUGCCUGUCCAGGACGCAGCGCCAGCACCAGGCCACCACCACCACCACCAUAAGCACUACGGAUACGGCUACGGAUACCACUGAUAUGGAAGUGAUUGGCUAUUGAUUGAUUAAAAGUUUUGUUAAGUUUACGAUUUGGUUAUUGUUUAGUAUGAGGUAUAAUAAUAAAAUAUUUUGUAGUUAA